GGCUGGGGGGGCCGCUCUAGCCAGCCCACAGGAACGAGCCCUCCCUCGCCCUUUAGCGGGCGCAGGUUGAGGAAGCGCUGCGCCGGAGGGCGCAGUCCCGCCUUUGGCGCUGCUUUUGGCUGGGGCGACCUCCCCGCGGUUGGGGUCGAGGUCGCUCCCUGGGCUCCUGAAGACGUGGCGUUGUGCUGCAGCCAGGCCGGCCGGCCCGUAAGUCGGGCGCAGGUGGGAGCCUCGGGCUCCGCGGGGCUUGUUGGGAGAGCCGAGCCGAGGGGGGCCGCCCUGUAAGCAGGGCUGUGCGUGUCCCCCGCGCUCGGCGGGAGGUGCUUGGAGGGACCCCCUGUAAUCAGGUGGGUAUCUCCUGGCCCCGGCCUUUCAGGGGCAAAAAUUUGGAAGUUGUGUCUUCUUAAAACAGAAUUGGAAUGGCUUCUAAAAAUCUAGGGAACAGCGCUGAGCCAAGUACCUCCCCUAGAGACAUAAAAACCAUCCAAAAAGCCCCAAGGAUGCUCUUCUGUGACUACAGACCUGGUGACAGGGAGGUCCCUUUGCCCAGAGAGCCUUUCUCUUUCCCCUUCCUCAGCCUGCCACUCCUCCUCUCGCUUGCUCCUGCCUCUCAGUUCCACACAUGACAGAUGCCUCUUCUUGCUUGCUUGCUUUCUUCUCCGGGAGCUGCUGCCAAGGAAGGAGGGCGUGGUCAAGCACCAACUCCUCCGCUUGGAGGAGAAAGGGGUGCCAGCCCCUGGAGGGACCUCCCCGCAGCGCACCCUGGUCCUUGGCUAUCCUUCCCCCCUCCACCCCCCACCCCCCCAGGCUCAGACAUCUUAGACGCACUUUUCUCACUGCCAUGGUGCCCAGCAGCCUGGAGGCUUAAAGAGCGGAGGCCCCAGCUCUGCUUCCAGGGCGGUGGCCUAGGUCAAGGCAAUAAAAGGGCUUCCCAGUGCCAGGGCUGCCCAGGCAGGACCUGGGCCCUGCUUGCACAUCCUGGCAUGCCCUCGAUGCCCAGAAUGGGCCCCUUCCUCCCAGCCUCCCGCGUUUCCCAGAGGGAAACAGGACCAGGGCAGGGCAGGGCAGGGCAGCAGAUUUAAAGGGGCAAACAGCACUUGCAGGCCCCAAAUAACAGCCACUCCCAACCACCUGCUCCGCAUUGAAGCGGCAGCUUCUCCCAAGUGAUGAGGAACCCACCUCAGGAAGUUCUUCUGCCCAAGCCCCCAAAACCUCCUGGGAAAAGCCCUUGCCAAAGUCACCUGCCACCGCUGCCGACUCACCUGCCUCCAGGGCAGAAAGUGCUCAGCACUCUUGAUAGUGCUUAGCUGGCAGCAUGUGUGGGGUGACUACCCCGUUAGCGGGGUGCGGGUCGGGGUGCCCCUGAAUCGGAGAGAAGGAGCCUCCGUGGGCCUUUGGGACCAGGGCUGCCCUGUAAGUCAGGGCCCGGCCAGUGCCCUGCAGUCCCGGGCGCUUUGCGGUCCAGGCAGCGGCUCGAGCCCCCUGUAAGCAGGGACGCGGAGCCUCGUUGGCCGCUGCUUUGCAUGCCCAGCUUCGUUUGCCCAGGGUGCCCGCCUCCGAGCCCGGCUCCAGCACCGGCUGGAACUCCGCAGGCGGCAGCGGUGGCGCCCGAGGGAGCACCGGAGCGCCAAUUCGCAGCUGCUGGUGGAGAAGGAAGAAGAGGCAUCUGUCGUGUGUGGACAAGAGCGAGCGAGAGGAGGAGCGGCAACGGGCUGAAGAAGGGGCAAGAGACAGGCCCUCCUGGGAAGGGGAUCUCCCUGUCUUCGGAGCUGCGGUCGCCUAAGGCGUCUGUGCCCCUUGGGGGUGUUUUCUGUGCCUCUGGAGCAGCUACUUGGCUCAUUGCAGUUCCCAAGACUUUUUGAAGCUCCCGGUCUGAACGUUUCUCUUUCAGCACUUGCACAGGGGAGGAAGCCGGUGGGCCUCAGCCUCUGGAAGAACAUGUUUCUCCUCUCUGUCCUGAAACAGCUUCUGUUGCUGCCCUUUCCCCAGCUAUUCACUGCUGGGGAUACUCAAUAAAAUGCUUUCU